UACAGAGGCCUCAAGCGUUAGGCGGAAUCACUGGGCUUAAAGCGUGUGUAGGCGGGUCGUUAAGUACCUUGUGAAAUCCCACGGCUCAACCGUGGAACUGCUUGGUAUACUGGUUGUCUUGAGCCACUUAGGGGCUACCGGAACAAAUGGUGGAGCGGUGAAAUGCGUAGAUAUCAUUUGGAACGCCAAUGGUGAAAACAGGUAGCUGGGAGUGUGCUGACGCUGAGACACGAAAGCCAGGGGAGCGAACGGG
rnacentral:rRNA from 1 species